rnacentral:rRNA from 1 species
UACGGGGGGGGUAAGCGUUGUUCGGAAUUACUGGGCGUAAAGGGCUCGUAGGCGGCCAACUAAGUCAGACGUGAAAUCCCUCAGCUUAACCGAGGAAGUGCACCCAAAACUGGGUAGCUAGAGUACUAAAGAGGGUCGCGGAAUUCCCGGUGUAGAGGUGAAAUUCGUAGAUAUCGGGAGGAACACCGGUGGCGAAGGCGGCGACCUGGGUAGAUACUGACGCUGAGGCGCGAAAGCGUGGGGAGCAAACAGG